UGGGGAAUUUUGGACAAUGGGCGAAAGCCUGAUCCAGCAAUGCCGCGUGUGUGAAGAAGGCCUUCGGGUUGUAAAGCACUUUUGUCCGGAAAGAAAUCCUUGGCUCUAAUACAGUCGGGGGAUGACGGUACCGGAAGAAUAAGCACCGGCUAACUACGUGCCAGCAGCCGCGGUAAUACGUAGGGUGCAAGCGUUAAUCGGAAUUACUGGGCGUAAAGCGUGCGCAGGCGGUUUGCUAAGACCGAUGUGAAAUCCCCGGGCUCAACCUGGGAACUGCAUUGGUGACUGGCAGGCUAGAGUAUGGCAGAGGGGGGUAGAAUUCCACGUGUAGCAGUGAAACGCGUAGAGAUGUGGAGGAAUACCGAUGGCGAAGGCAGCCCCCUGGCCAAUACUGACGCUCAUGCACGAAAGCGUGGGGAGCAAACAGGAUUAGAUACCCUGGUAGUCCACGCCCUAAACGAUGUCAACUAGUUGUUGGGGAUUCAUUUCCUUAGUAACGUAGCUAACGCGUGAAGUUGACCGCCUGGGGAGUACGGUCGCAAGAUUAAAACUCAAAGGAAUUGACGGGGUCAUAGCUGUUUCCU
rnacentral:rRNA from 1 species